rnacentral:ncRNA from 1 species
UGGAUUCAAAGCGUACAAGGUGUCGAACAGACUUGAUAGGGAACGCGGUGUGAUUCCGUGACUGUCCUCGCAGCUGUGAUUACCGCCGAAAAGAACAUAACCACUGUCUUAUUGGACGGGAAGGGUUCUUAGUAGAUAAAGGUAUAAGUCAGCAGACCUGCCCUGUGUGCUUGUGUUUC